CAGUUCGGAUUGAAGGCUGAAAUUCGCCUUCAUGAAGCCGGAAUUGCUAGUAAUGGCAGGUCAGCAUACUGCCGUGAAUACGUUCCCGGGCCUUGUACACACCGCCCGUCACACCAUGAGAGUUGGGAAUACCCGAAGCCUGUGAGCUAACUUUUAGAGGCAGCAGUCGAAGGUAGAAUCAAUGAUUGGGGUGAAGUCGUAACAAGGUAGC
rnacentral:rRNA from 1 species